rnacentral:rRNA from 1 species
UGGGGAAUUGUUCACAAUGGGCGCAAGCCUGAUGACGCAACGCCGCGUGGGGGAUGAAGGUCUUCGGAUCGUAAACCCCUGUCGAAUGGGACGAAAGACUCGCGAGUGAAUACUUCGCGAGAGUGACGGUACCGUUAAAGGAAGCCACGGCUAACUCUGUGCCAGCAGCCGCGGUAAUACAGAGGUGGCAAGCGUUGUUCGGAAUUACUGGGCGUAAAGGGCGCGUAGGCGGCCCUCUAAGUCAGACGUGAAAUCCCCCGGCUUAACCUGGGAACUGCGUCUGAUACUGGAGGGCUUGAGUAUGGGAGAGGGAUGUAGAAUUCCAGGUGUAGCGGUGAAAUGCGUAGAUAUCUGGAGGAAUACCGGUGGCGAAGGCGGCAUCCUGGACCAUUACUGACGCUGAGGCGCGAAAGCUAGGGGAGCAAACGGGAUUAGAUACCCCUGUAGUCCCUGAGCGGGCUGGCAAGGCGCAU